AGAAUAGGGUAUAGAGAUUAAAACCAGGGUUGUUGAAUAAAAUUGAGGCCCUUUAAGCCCAAAGCUCUUUUCCUCCAACCUAGAAUCUGCCAAGGGUGCAAGGCAGGGGUGCAACAUGAAAUUUCUUGGUCUAGGCCAAAGGUAGGCGUGCAACAGUGCAAUUUGGGGGUGCCAUUAGAUGUUUUGUUGACUAGGCCCAAGGCCUCUUUUCCGUAGGGGUGUAAACAGAGUUGUGCGUGGUGGCAAGCAGAGAGGACGCGACCCACUGGGCCCAAAGCCUUCCUAACCCUAACAGAAACAUUAGGGGUUCUGCUAAUUUGCUCCAUUCUUACUCAACAUCUAGGGUCUCCUUCGAGAGGAAAACCAUGGAGGCUCGUCUCUGCCACAAUUGCUCGCCACCGUCCACCACCAAAAUCAACCGCUGGGAGCCACGGUCUAAGGCGUCGCCGACAACAGCGUU
rnacentral:lncRNA from 1 species